UCCAGACUCCUACGGGAGGCAGCAGUGGGGGAUAUUGCACAAUGGGGGGAACCCUGAUGCAGCGACGCCGCGUGGGUGAAGAAGUAUUUCGGUAUGUAAAGCCCUAUCGGCAGGGAAGAAAUUGGACGGUACCUGACUAAGAAGCCCCGGCUAACUACGUGCCAGCAGCCGCGGUAAUACGUAGGGGGCAAGCGUUAUCCGGAUUUACUGGGUGUAAAGGGAGCGUAGACGGCGAUGCAAGCCAGAUGUGAAAGCCCGGGGCUCAACCCCGGGACUGCAUUUGGAACCGUGUGGCUGGAGUGUCGGAGAGGCAGGCGGAAUUCCUAGUGUAGCGGUGAAAUGCGUAGAUAUUAGGAGGAACACCAGUGGCGAAGGCGGCCUGCUGGACGAUGACUGACGUUGAGGCUCGAAAGCGUGGGGAGCAAACAGGAUUAGAUACCCUAGUA
rnacentral:rRNA from 1 species